rnacentral:rRNA from 1 species
GACGAACGCUGGCGGCGUGCCUAAUACAUGCAAGUCGAGCGAAUCGAUGGGAGCUUGCUCCCUGAGAUUAGCGGCGGACGGGUGAGUAACACGUGGGUAACCUGCCUGUAAGACCGGGAUAACUUCGGGAAACCGGAGCUAAUACCGGAUACUUUCUUUUCUCGCAUGAGGGAAGAUGGAAAGAUGGUUCUGCUAUCACUUACAGAUGGACCCGCGGCGCAUUAGCUAGUUGGUGAGGUAACGACUCACCAAGGCGACGAUGCGUAGCCGACCGAGAAGGGUGAUCGGCCACACUGGGACUGAGACACGGCCCAGACUCCUACGGGAGGCAGCAGUAGGGAAUCUUCCGCAAUGGACGAAAGUCUGACGGAGCAACGCCGCGUGAGCGAAGAAGGCCUUCGGGUCGUAAAGCUCUGUUGUUAGGGAAGAACAAGUAUCGGAGUAACUGCCGGUACCUUGACGGUACCUAACCAGAAAGCCACGGCUAACUACGUGCCAGCCGCCGCGGUAA